rnacentral:rRNA from 1 species
UACGUAGGUGGCAAGCGUUGUCCGGAUUUACUGGGCGUAAAGGAUGCGUAGGCGGACAUUUUAAGUCAGAUGUGAAAUACCCGAGCUUAACCUUUGGGUGCUGCAUUUGAAACUGGGUGUCUAGAGUGCAGGAGAGGUAAGUGGAAAUUCCUAGUGUAGCGGUGAAAUGCGUAGAGAUUAGGAAGAACAGCCAGUGGCGAAGGCGACUUACUGGGACUGUAACUGACGUGAGGCAUGAAAGCGUGGGGGAGCAAACAGGAU